GGCUGGUCCGAAGGUAGUGAGUUAUCUCACUUGAUUGUUCAGUCAGUUACAGAUUGAACUCCUUGUUCUACUACUUUCCCCCCUCCUCACUACUGCACUUCACUAGUCUUAA
rnacentral:Y_RNA from 1 species